GCUAGGUGAACCCCACAAAAACAGGGGAAUAUUGUAGGUGAUGGACAGUUGGUGGUCUCCGGCCCUUACAUUGUCGAGUUCAUGAGACCUAACAUAACAAAGGCAGAUGGUCACGAAGAAUCAAUACCUGUGGAAAUGCAAUCUUUGCUGGAGCGUGGUACAAGGCGCAUGUUGGUUCACUCUUUUGCUGCUGAAUCCUGAAUGCACGUGUACUGCAUAACAAACCAACAAAAUGGAAAUGUUUAUAACUCAAUUGAUGUUAUACUGUAUUAAUUUUCAGCCUUGGCUGACUACCACA